UACGAAGGGGGCUAGCGUUGCUCGGAAUCACUGGGCGUAAAGCGCACGUAGGCGGCUUUUUAAGUCAGAGGUGAAAUCCUGGAGCUCAACUCCAGAACUGCCUUUGAUACUGGAGAGCUUGAGUCCGGGGAGAGGUGAGUGGAACUGCGAGUGUAGAGGUGAAAAUUCGUAGAUAUUCGCAAGAACACCAGUGGCGAAGGCGGCUCACUGGCCCGGUACUGACGCUGAGGUGCGAAAGCGUGGGGAGCAAACAGGG
rnacentral:rRNA from 1 species